CAGUCGCCGCGGGAAUACAGAGGGUGCGAGCGUUAAUCGGAUUUACUGGGCGUAAAGCGUGCGUAGGCGGCUUCUUAAGUCGGAUGUGAAAUCCCUGAGCUUAACUUAGGAAUUGCAUUCGAUACUGGGAAGCUAGAGUAUGGGAGAGGAUGGUAGAAUUCCAGGUGUAGCGGUGAAAUGCGUAGAUAUCGGAAGGAACACCUGUGGCGAAAGCGGCUCACUGGACAAUAACUGACGCUGAUGCACGAAAGCUAGGGGAGCAAACAGGAUUAGAUACCCGUGUAGUCCCUGUCUCUUAUAC
rnacentral:rRNA from 1 species